rnacentral:rRNA from 1 species
AAUGGGCGGAAGCCUGAACCAGCCAUGCCGCGUGCAGGAAGAAUGCCCUACGGGUUGUAAACUGCUUUUCCCCGGGAAGAAUAAGGCCCCUGCGGGGGUCGAUGCCGGUACCGGGGGAAUAAGGAUCGGCUAACUCCGUGCCAGCAGCCGCGGUAAUACGGAGGAUCCUAGCGUUAUCCGGAUUUAUUGGGUUUAAAGGGUGCGUAGGUGGUUUGAUAAGUCAGCGGUGAAAGUUUGCGGCUUAACUGUAAAAAUGCCGUUGAAACUGUCGGACUUGAGUGUAAAUGAGGUAGGCGGAAUGCGUGGUGUAGCGGUGAAAUGCAUAGGUAUCACGCAGAACUCCGAUUGCGAAGGCAGCUUACUAAGCUACAAAUGACACUGAAGCACGAAAGCGUGGGGAUCAAA